UACGAAGGGUGCAAACGUUGCUCGGAAUUAUUGGGCGUAAAGCGCACGUAGGCGGCUUAGCAAGUCGGAAGUGAAAUCCCACGGCUCAACCAUGGAAGUGCUUUCGAAACUGCUGAGCUUGAGUACGAAAGAGGAUCGCGGAAUUCCCGGUGUAGAGGUGAAAUUCGUAGAUAUCGAGAGGAACACCAGUGGCGAAGGCGGCGAUCUGGGUCGAUACUGACGCUGAGGUGCGAAAGCGUGGGGAGCAAACAGG
rnacentral:rRNA from 1 species